AUGAUAAGCAAGUGCCUGCUCCAGGGACUGUCCCCAGAAUGCUGUCACCGUUGAUUAGCUCUAGCAAACAAGACUAAGAGCAACACCCCAAAUCCUCUGUGUUUGUUGCUCAGUGGCCAGGCAUUUGCUCCCCCCCUGUGAAGUGAUGGGACCCCAGGACCCCACUCCCCAUGCCUGCCCAGCCAGCAACUCCGACUCCGAGUUCAGGACAUUUCUGUGGGAAGACCCAGCCGAUUUACCCCAAUCCCACAUCCACUGGAGAUGAUCCAAUCUGUUUUAAGGGCCAAGUUCCACACCUCAAUAAAAAAAAAAAAAAAAAAACUGCAGGCUCCGGGAAGUAGUUCAACUUCUUAAAAAAACAGCUUGUGUGUGGUUGAAAUGUUUUAUUUUAAUCAUAGCAAUUAGAUGUUCUUGUUUUGCACAACAGUCUCCAACAGAAUCGCCUUCAGCACAGGACACCUAGUAACAUCGUGCAAACCGGCUGCUCGGCUCCGCACACUUUGGAGAACGCCAGUAUAAAAACUGAAAGUUGUCUUCCUAUAUCCAGUGGGCUGCUGGGUAAGAAGGAAAUGGAACUCGGUUGCUAUAAACCAAAGGGCAGAUACUCGAGGGAUGCAGACAUCCGGGAAGCAGGUGCUUGGUUCAACGUCGAGUCUAGACCUUUCUAACAAUUGGAACAGUAUCGUAGGUAAUGAGCAAGUUUCUGGGGACUUAUUAAAUCAGAAAUGGAAUGCUGUCGGGGACACUAGAGGAUAUCCUUGCUCUGUGUAGGCAGCUCUCUGACUGCCUGUGGCACGCACAUUCACACGCAAUGGAGAGGCGCCUCCGCCAACAGCUUCCUUUACAAAGAAUCUCCACGUUCUACAUCUUUUCUGAGGCCUAUAUCCAUCCCUUCUAUGCUUACCCUUCAUACAUUCCUAACAUCUGUAAGCCAAGCACUUUUCUUCUUCCGGGAUGUCAGUCCUUUAACAGGAAUGACCCAGGCUCUCAUCUAGGUCUUUUUAUAGUCUAGUCAUUCUAGAUCUUUCCCUGACCUUUGGGGGGGGGGCUUACCAACUUCGAAUGUUACCCCAAAGCUUGUGACCCCCCUUGGCAGAGAAGAAAGGGUGCAGAAGAAUCUAGAUUGUGAGACUUGUAGUAUUUGACAAAACCAUAUUGUCAGGUAUUGGAGACCCGGGCCCUAACGUACUCCAACAUGGUUCAAAUCCCAUGCCUCUCCUGGACUCUAUGACCUGGAGACAGCUUCCAAACCCUGAAUGAACUUUAUUUCCCCUUGUAAAAAAUAAGACUGGAAUGGCAAUCCUUACAUCUCCCUGUUUGGAACAAAUGAAGAGUGACGAAAGGGACACAAGGGACCCCCCAGCCUUCCUGCCCCCGAGUGGCAGACACUCAAUAAAAGUCAGUGUCGUGGGUGAUUGUGUUUGUCCCCAUCCACACAGUAGCAAACUUCCAAGGAACUUCAGACUUCUUCAGAAAGCCACUAAUCCAUAUGCCAAGAGGUCAGGCCCCAGUGGGAGGGGUGAGCAGGGGAUGGCCUGGCUCUCUAGUACCUUCCUUCCUUCGAGAGAACACACUAGGGCAGAGAAACUAGAAGAAAAAUACAUUAAAGGACAACAGCCCUUCCUCCUUCAGGGUGGAAAGUGUCUGUCCGGGCUUGGGGACAAGUUGACCUGACCCUUGACUCAGGUAAGCCUGUAGCCUCAACCCCAGUCCCUAACCCUCCUUGGCUGUAAAAGAAAAAGUUGCUGGUGGUUACCUUGAGCGGUGCCUUUGGAGCCGCAAAGGCGGAUCGUCCAGGAAUGCUACCUAUUCACACCACUUAGCAAAGGAAAGCCUUACAUACCAAAACACUUCACGUGUGUGCCGGCAUGGGCACCGGCGUACACACCAGCGUGUGCAGCAGCGUGUGCACAGGUGCUCCGAGAUCACAUUGACUGGCGUCUGCUCUUAGGCCUUGCUCCUCUAGUAAAGACUUCAACCCCAGAAUUGUCCGGGAGGAGACAUGCUGAUGAUUGACUCAGAAGGGGGACAAAACGGUGCCUCCCAGUCCUGGGUCCACUGGCCAUGGCUUGUUUGCUGAUGCUGGGUGUGACUCCCACUCCUAGCCCCCGCUUCACCCUCCCCAAUCUUUCACUUGAGGAUCUCUGAGCUCUGUGUCUCUGGGGAAAGUGUCUCUGAUCUAUUUUUGCCCGGGUUUGCGCGCUCUCCGCAUGGAUUAUCAUCUGGCUGGCUCCGGUUUCUAUUAGUGCUUUUGUUUGAUUCUGUUCUGUUUCGCUACAUGAGCUCUACCGUCCAUGGCAGCCAGCCCUUCUUGGGUGAUGGGAGUGUUGGUAACGGUAUCAGCAUUUGUCACAGUUUCUGCAGAGGAUGCUUGUCCCCUCACGCCCAGCCUACCCUACCCCUAAUACUCCUCGCCACUUGGGCACAAGCAGACGCCUUCCGCCUCACUACAUGACUCUGUAAGUGGAGUCUGGUUUUCACAUUAGCCAAGAGGAGGCCCUGAAGUCAGAAAUCCUUGGCCUGUGAGUCACUUUGUUUCUUUGUGCCUCAUUUCCCCCAACUAUAAAUAGCCCGAGUCCCACACUUUCUCAUCUCCCAGUAUCCUAGGGACUGGGACAGGUGCUUUUGUACCAACUGGGAGCUCCUUCCCAGGAGCCAUUUCUCGUCUGCCCAGGUGGGCUCUCUCUCAAAGAUCAUGGCCCUUGGGGGUCUCUAAACAUCAGUGUUUCUCUGUCCCUACUUUCUUGGCAUCUGCCUCUUUCAUUGUACGUGUGUGAAGUUUCUGAAAUGCAGAAGCCGGGCUCUGCAGAAGGCGCUCUCUCUGUCUCCUAUUGUCUUCAGAGCGAAGUCCUCAGCAGUGUCUAGGACAUGGUUGACUCAUCCUUGAUAUGCUAAGAACUGUUUGCUGAAUGACUGGGCCAGCAACUGCAUACUGAAGGAAAUCUGACAGGCCAAGGUCGUAUAAAGAAGCAAAGAAAGAAAUCAGACUUCUGAAUAUUCCUUUGGAAUAGAGUUUCUGUUAGCACUGGGAAUAUUGCCUUUUUCUCCCAGAUCACCUCUCUCUCUCUCUCUGUCUCUCUGUCUCUGUCUCUGUCUCUGUCUCUGUC